ensembl:rRNA 5S_rRNA 5S ribosomal RNA
GCUUACGGCCAUACCACCCUGAGCACUCCCGACCUCGUCUGAUCUCGGAAGCUAAGCAGGGCUGGGCUUGGUUAGUACUUGGAUGGGAGACUGCCUGGGAAUACCUGGUGCUGUAAGCC